UACGUAGGGGGCGAGCGUUGUCCGGAAUUAUUGGGCGUAAAGGGCGCGUAGGCGGUUACUUAAGUCUGAUGUGAAAGUGCGGGGCUUAACCCCGUAAAGCAUUGGAAACUGGGUAACUUGAGGACAGGAGAGGAAAGUGGAAUUCCUAGUGUAGCGGUGAAAUGCGUAGAUAUUAGGAGGAACACCAGUGGCGAAGGCGACUUUCUGGACUGUAACUGACGCUGAGGCGCGAAAGCGUGGGGAUCCAACAGGAUUAGAUACCACCGGAGUCC
rnacentral:rRNA from 1 species